rnacentral:rRNA from 1 species
AUUGAACGCUGGCGGCAGGCCUAACACAUGCAAGUCGAACGAGUGGCGGACGGGAUAGUAAUGUCUGUGAAACUGCCCGAUGGAGGGGGAUACCUACUGGAAACGGUAGCUAAUACCGCAUACCAUCGGAUGUGCCCAGAUGGGAUUAGCUGGUAGGUGGGGUAAAGGCUCACCUAGGCGACGAUCCCUAGCUGGUCUGAGAGGAUGACCAGCCACACUGGAACUGAGACACGGUCCAGACUCCUACGGGAGGCAGCAGUGGGGAAUAUUGCACAAUGGGCGAAAGCCUGAUGCAGCCAUGCCGCGUGUAUGAAGAAGGCCUUCGGGUUGUAAAGUACUUUCAGCAGGGAGGCGGUACCCGCAGAAGAAGCACCGGCUAACUCCGUGCCAGCCGCCGCGGUAAUAC